UGUGGGAGCGGGCUUGCUCGCGAAAGCGGUGGGUCAGUCAAUAUCUCUUUAACUGACACGCCCAAUUCGCGAGCAAGCCCGCUCCCACA
rnacentral:misc_RNA from 1 species